rnacentral:lncRNA from 1 species
AAUAAUAAAUGAAAGAAGCAGAAAAUGAUACCUCAUUCAUUCCUAAAGUGACAACCUUUUCCUCCAACGCACCAACCUCCUUAACAUUAAACUUGUUGAGCAGAGCUAUGCUGGAGAUGGUAGACAUGGGCUUGAUCUCCAAAUCAUCCAUCACCAUGUAUGUCACCACCCCCUUCACCAAACCGCCGCCUUCCGCGGCCUCUACCACCGCGGGAGGAGCCACAUAGGUUAUAGUCGAGCUCAGAACCCCACGGCAUGAAGGACAAGUGGCGCGGGGGCCAUCAGAAAAAUAAUUGCGACAACUGCUACUGUAAUUAUAAUUGCUGCACGUGUAAAAUUUCCUCUGAUCAAUUUGAGAAGCGGUGAGGGGCAGAAGCGGAACUGAGGAACUGGAGACCGGCGCCGCCGGUUUCAGAAACGCCUCCUUGUUCUUGCCCGGCAGUAUGUAGGUGUCGUUGAGAUCUUCUAAGCUUUUGAAGAGGUUGGGGAGAGAGCCCUCCAUUCCUUCCUCUCUGAGAAGGCUGAUGACGGUGGCAAGCGGCGCAGACAGUAUGUGGAAGAGGAAAUCCACGCAGUCUUUGCCGGCCUCCGCGAACAAGACGCGUCUCACUUUGCUAGUGUCGAUCAACAGCUUCAUGCUCACCGUCGGAUUCGCCAUUAAUCUUUUUGUGUAUCUGAUGGCUUGAUCUUCUUCUUGGGUGGGUUACUCUAUUUCAACUCACCAUUCAUUUAUAUAUAGAGGCUGGCAAACUAGUUCCAUCGGAUUGGUGCAGAUGAAAAGCUUAGUGAAGUAAUAAUGCUUGCGUUUCUAUUUAAUUAUCAUAAAUUCAUAUCCCUCUGCAAUCAUGAGAGAAAUUGGGUUUCCGUUACUGUUGAUAAAUAUUAAGGGAAAUUGUAUGGAGCCAUAAUUAUAGCUGCCAUAAAUACCCUUCAAAUAUUAAUGAUCUAAUUUGAACACUAAUUUGUCCUCCAUUCAACCCAAACGAUUUUCCCAACCCUAAUUCACACAAUUAUUUUAGGAAAUGAUUCCUAUUGAAAUAAACGGUUUUUUCCCCUUAUUUAAAUCAACAACUAUUUUUCAGUACCCUAAAAAAAUAGUUGAAAUUUUUAGGAAUUAAAUUUCUUAUCUCAAACCUUGCCACCCCAUAUUCAACAAAGCAAAACCAAAAGAAAAAGUGGUUGUCUGCCACUAGGCUAAAAGUGGUUGUCUGCCACCAACAGGCUAUAACAAAUGUAGUAUUAUUUCAAAUUAAAAUGUACUCCCUCCGUCCCAGUAAUGUUGUCCCCUUUCUUUUGGGCACGGAGAUUAAGGAGUGUAAAAUUAGUAUUGUAAAAUAAAAGGUCCCACAUGUUUAAGGAAAAGCAAGUAUAGCUUAAGCCCCUCCCCAAACAUGUCUCUCUCUCUCGGCACUCUCUCCCUCAACAUACACUAUGCAGACGCCGCGCCGCCGGCGACACCAUGUUUAUCUCCGGCGACGGCAACAGUAGGUGGAGCAACCUCUCUGAUUCCGCCGAGCAGCAGUGGGAGCAGCCACUGCCGGUCCCAGCCCCCUGUUCUCCCUUUGUCUCUACCAUUUCUCAACUCCGCCCCUCUCCCUUGUCUCCGGCGACCGCUACGAAGCCACAGAGAUACAAGGAAGACUCUUAUAAACAGAAAAUUGAAACACAGAAGGCCCAAAAUUCGGCGACCGCAUGACUAGAAGGUCGCCGUCGUCGCCGCCGCCGAGCCUCAAAUCUCCAGUCUACUUUUCCCUUCAUUCGAGCCCACCAAAGAUAAAACACACCACAGAGCAACACCACCACCACCACAGAAACAAAGAGAUCCACAAAUAACAACAACAAAAAACAAAAAAUAGAAUCUUUUAAUUGUUGAGAGAAACAAAGGAGAGGGAUGAAGAAAAAAAGCCCUAAUUUCUGAAUAAAAAAAAAAAAAACAGAGGAGGAGAGGGCGAAGGCAGGAGGGCGGCGACUAUGGCGCAAGAGGAGUGACAGGCGGGAGAAGCAGCGUCAGGUGAGAGGCGCUGGGGUCGCCGGAAAGAGGAGCCGCGUCGGUGGCUGAAUUAUUGGGGGAGAGCUAGGGCUCGAAAUUUGCAGAAGAGGGGGAAGGGGAGGAGGCGGAGGCGGCGGCGGCGGCGGCGAGCCCUAAUUCAUGGGGGAGCGGAUUUACAGAGGGGGAAGUGGAGGAGGCGGAGGCGGCGGCGGCGGAACAAAGGGGGAAGAGGGAGGCGGCGCCGGUGGAACAGAGGGGAAGUGAGCGGCGGCGCCGGUGGAUUUGCAGAGGGAAAAUGGUGGAGCGACGAGGGAGAAUGAGGGAGAUGGUAGAGAGAGAGAGAGAGAGAGAGAGAGGAGUGAUGUAAUUUGGAGGGGUAAGUUUAAUUAGAAUAUGUUUAAGUGAGAGUUAAUUAGCCUUAAAAUUUACCCAAAAAGGAAAUGGGACAAGAUUAUUGGGACAACCCAAAAAGAAAAGUGGGACAAGAUUAUUGGGACGGAGGGAGUACAAUAUUCAAGAGCCAUAAGGUGUCUCCAACAAUGAUCCCAAUUUUUAGUUUUUAAAUUGCUACACCAUUGCCACAUCAACUUUAGAAAUUCACCUAUUUUUUUUUUCAAAUCUCCUCCAACAAUAAACUAAUUUUUUAUUUUUUCAGGGUCCCACCAUAAUACACACUCCCUCGAUAUAUCUAUAUAUGUAUAUAUUUCUUAAUUAAUUUUAUUUGUAUUAUUAUUUAUAUACUUUAAUAAUAUUUUUAAAUUAAAAUUCUAUAUUUUAAUUAUCUAAUUUAAUAAAAUAAAUUUAAAAUUCUAAAUUAUAAUUAAAAUUACAUUGCAAAAAUUUAAAUUACAUCAAUUGAAAGUACAUAAACAUAAUAAUUCAAACUAAUUUUACUUAAUUGGAGCCAUCUGUGACAUUGAAUUGUGCCCAAAUAUGUUGUGUCAAAUCAUGUUGAAGUUGGAGAUGUGUUUGUUUAUUUGUUAAAUCGUUGUGAUUUUGGAGAUAAUUUUCAAAUGCUUCCCAAUUAUUAGUACCCAUUGGUAUUGGUUGCUGAGAAGUUGCAUCUUCGUCAGACCAGUUGACCGCUUCUUCACCCUCAUCCUCAAUGAUCAUAUUGUGUAAAAUAAUACAUAUGAGCAUUAUAUUGCGAAGGUCUUCCUUGAAAUAAGACCGCGCUGGAUUUCGAACUACGGCAUGAAAUAGUUGGAACUUGAAAGGAUUGUUGGAUGUAAAUUGUGGAGGAAAAUUUGUUCCAGUAGGAGAGUUGAAUGGAAAUUGUUGAGAAUAAAUCGAACCACCAGGAGAGUUGAAUGGAAAUUGUUGAGGAAAAUUCGGAGACAUUUGAUAAUUGUAUGAAAAUUGUUGUUGAGGGUAAGACAUUUGGUGAUAUUGUGAAUUUGAAAAAUAAGAAUUUUGAAAAUUUUGAGAGCUUGAAUUACUUGAGUCGGAAUUUUGAGAGCUUGAAUCCGCCAUUUUAAUUGUAGUGAAAAGAAUUUUGGAAAUAAGAAGAAGAUAGAUUGUUGGGAAGAUGUGUGAAUAAUGAAAAUUGAAGUGAAGUAUAUAUAGAAAAUUUUAAAAAAUUUCCGUUGUUAUUAGAAUUAGCCGUUAUAAAAUUAUAUAUAGCCGUUGCUUUUUUACAAUGCAAAAUAAAACAUUCAAAAUAAAAUACUAGAAUACAAUGCAAAAUAAUUAAAACACAUAUAAUAAAAAAAAAUAAAAAAUAAAAGACCACAAUGUGAAACAACUGAAGCCAUACUCCCAUAUAAUUCAAAUAGCACGCUUUUCAAUGAGAAAAAGUAGGCUAGAAAAGCAAAAAGAAAUGGCUGCCAGAAAAAGUAGAAUUGAAGAAAGUGGAAUUUGGUGGGCUUUGGUUAAGGUUGUCUUUCGUGGAAAGAAGUUUAGAAACCAGUUCUUUGUUUGCUCUUGGUUUCUCGAUUUUUUCGAAGAAACCAGUUCCUAGUUACUCCAAUGCUAAUUCUUUGUUUUAGAAAUUGGAAAAACUUAUCUUUGGAGGCACCCUAAUAUUGAAAACUACCCACUUCAACUAGUAAGUGCAUGCAAAACCACCAAAAUGAUAUUCACUAUACCACAUUUCAUGCCUUAGUGUGUCCUACUUUCAAUUUUGUUUCGUUUCUUUAUAUAUUUUUUUUUGUGGUUUUUGCAAAUAAAAUCACGAACAAUUUUAAAUGUGCAAUUUUAACGUGGCUUUUGAAGUAUGGCGAAUUAAAUCAUAACCUUUUCAAUUUUCGCAAUUUCAUCCCCUCAAUUUUUUCCGGCCACCGGAGUGAUGAGUUGGAGCUUAUGUGGAUUAUUUUUUUUCACGUAAUUAAUUUCUAACUAAGAUUAAAUUGCUGACUAAGAUUAAAACAAAAUCAAAACCUAAUGCUUUUAUUUUACUUCUUUUUCGUCUUUUAUAAAAAUAUAUUUGAUGUGUAUCUUAAGUUAAAGAUCAUGACAAGAUCUUCAAUUUGAUUUAAAAUUCAUUAAAUAUGAAUUUGAAAUAAAUACUUUAUUAUAAUUUAAAAUUUUAAAGUGAUUGUUUUUCUCUCUCCCAUCUCUUUUACAAUAUUCUUUAUUUUUUUCUCUUUCUCCUUAUUUUGUUAUUAUAUUAUUUCCAUUUGUAUCUCUUUCUCCUACAGAAUUUAUAUAUCUUCUCUUCUCUUUUGAUUAAAAAAAACAUAAUAUUUAUUUGUUGAAUUAUUUUUAUCAAAGUAUACAUAUAAAUAUUUAAAUUAANAAUAUCGAGACAAUAUUAUAAAAGUAUUUAUUAAUUUUAAUUUUAAUAGAAAAUAAUAAUCGAUAACAAAAAACUUUCGGUAAAUUUAAUUAUUAUUAUACAAUACUCAUUGAACGUAAUAUUAUACUCCUACUCAUUAAGUUGAUAAAAUUAUUACUAUACACUAUUUUAAAUCAAGUACUAAUAUUUAAAUUAAUAUAUUUUUUGUUAUUAAUUAAUUUGAUUCACAAAUAAUAAUAUUUUUACAUAAUUUCAAAUUUUAAAAAUAAAUAAAUAUAUCGCGGCCGUGUAUCGUACGGGAGGGCGUACUAGUUUAAGGAAAAUGGGGGAUACUGAAAUAAGUUCGACGAAAAAGAAGAAAAAUAAAAGAAUUAGGUUUUGAUUUUAUUUUAAUCUUAGUCAGAAAUUAAUUACGUGAAAAAAAAAUCCACAUAAGCUCCAACUCAUCACUUCGGUGGCCGGAAAAAAUUGAGGGGAUGAAAUUGCAAAAAUUGAAAAGGUUAUGAUUUAAUUUGCCACAUUUUAAAAGUCGCGUUAAAAUUGCAAAUUCAAAAUUGUUCGUGAUUUUAUUUGCAAAAACCUUUAGUUUACUUUUGUGAUUAUUAAUUAGGAUUUAUUCCAUCAAUUUAUGGUAUAUAAUUAUUUUUUAUUAUUUAAUUUCAUUUUGAGUAGCUAAUUAAUAAUUGGUUGAUAAAUUCAAAGCCAUGGUAUAUAUAUAUACUUUUUAAAAAAUUUACUUUUUUGAAAUAAAAAUUAAUUAUUGUCAUAUCCCGACUUUUAAUCAUUGGUCAAAUGUUUAAUUAUUGAUAAUUAGGGUUCAACAUCCAUUAAUAAAAUUUGGUCUUAUGUAUCUGUUGUGAUUUAAUUUUGUUUGAUGUGAUUGAUUUUAUUUAUUUGAAUCCAAUUGAAAUUUAAAGGAUUUUAUGCAUAAGUUUUAAUUCGUGAGUUAAGUGUAGUUAUAUGAAUUACAUGAAUUUUAAAUUUUGCAUGAAGUCAUAAAUUUUUCUUUAAAUGAGAUAUUAUUUUUUUAUUAUCAAUCAAGAGUUAUAUUUUAAUAAUUUUAUUAAAGAUCAUUUUAUUUAUUUAUUAAAGUCACAAGUUUUAUUUAAAUUUUGAUGGUACAUUUUGCCCACUAAUUUUCUUAGUGUGCUUAAUUCACAUCCAUUUGAUACCCACAUGUUUUAAUUAGUUAACCUUAUCUCAUAACCACCCACUUGCCAUAUCCUAUUAAUUUAACUUCUAAAUAUCUACUCAUCAUUAUCCAGCUUCCUCAUUAAGCAACACUAUUAUCUUCCUCUAGAAGCUAAACAUUGUUCUCACCCACCCUUACCGUCUUCUUUGAAAUUUCACAUCUUUUUUUCACCUUCAACUCCCUAACUAAUUUCAAUCAAGAUUCAAGGUAAGUGCGAUUUAUAUUUAUUCAUCUUAUUAGUCAAUUUCAAGAAAUACCUUCAUACACUUAUGCCAUGCAGCAUUUCUGCAGAAUUUUUAUAACAAUUUUGCUUCCUCAAGGUCUACUCCAAAAUUGAACCACCAAACACAAAGCAAACUACUUAUGAUUCUUUAUAUGUUUAUAUGAUUCUGGAAUUUACACAUGUGGUGUUUAUUGUAAGAAAUACACAGAUAGACAAUUACAAAUCUUGAUGAAUAUAAACUCUUAUAUGAAAUCCUACAACUGUUGUCGUUUUGAAUCGUGGCUGAGCCCCUAUGUAGAUGUAUGUGUGAGUGUCGAGAUCGGGGAGGCGGCAGCCCGAUGACUCGUCGUCGGUAGGCGGCUGAGGCAUGAUGGCGGCGGAGCCGCCACUGUUUCUGUUCGGCCGAAAGGGGAGAAAGGGAAGGGGAUAGAAGAUUUCAGUUUUUCGUUGAAUAAAAGAUAUUAUUAGGGCUUCAAUUUAAUUAAUUAUCUUCAUGAAAUUAAUUCGUGGUUAAAUAUUAUCUUCAUGAAAUUAAUUUAUGUCUAAUCCUCUUUCUUUCCGGCUUCUUAAUUCUCACUCUGAGUCAUAAAUCCCGGUUAAUCCAUCCUUAUGGAUAGUGGGCUGUGACAAUUAUAAUUCAUAGUAUUAUAAUAAAUUUUAUUUUUAUAAAAAAUAUUCUUAAAAUAAUAUAUAUAAGCAUGAGAUACAGUGACACAUUAUUGUAAUUACAUCAUUGUAAUUUUCAUCAUCAAUAUUAAUAUUAUAGUGUUUGUACGUAUACGAAAUAUUUAUAGAAAUUAAUGCAAGAGUUCAACGACAACGAGUACGUACAACACAUUCACAAGUUCUCAAAACAACAAUAUUAAUAUGCAAGCGCAGGCCAGAAAGCUUUUACAUAGUUGGAAACAGAAAGUGCAUUAAUUAAGGAUAAACAGAAACUGGAAAUCAGUGGAGCUAGAGACCAAAAUCCGAGACCGACAUUUGUUGAAGUAGCUUAGCAGAAGAGUUCUGUAAGAACAUUCUCGCUCAGAAGAGAAAUCUUCAAUAACUUUAUAGCCUAACCAAAAAAGAAGACCAUCGUCAAAUCAGGUGCUACUAUAAUCCAAAUAAAAGUAUAUAUUAGUACUAAGACAAGAAAGAAAAUAAAUGAGUUAAACAAGAAGAGAUGAUACCUCCUUCAUUCCCAAAUGGACAACUUCUUCCUUCAAAGCACCGAUAUAAUUAACAUUAUUGAGCAGCGCAAUGCCGGAGAUAGUAGACAUGGGUUUGAUCUCCAAAUCAUCCAUCACCAUGUAAGUCACUACACCCUUCACCAAACCGGCGUUUCUCGACACCACUUGCCCAUUUUCCGGUAUUUUUUGAAAGCCUUGCUGAAGUAUGUGAUGGCUAAUGUUUCUAGUGGACACAUCCUUAAGAGCCAGCUGUGGAAGCAAAGAAGCGGAGACCGGUUUGAGAUAGAAGUCCUUUUUCUUGUUGGGUUGUAUGUAGUCGUCGUCGAGAUUUUCUAAGCUUGUGUAGAGGUUGGGCAAGGAGCCCUGCAUCCCUUCCUCUUUGAGCAAGCGAAUGAUGGUGGAAACCGGCAGAGACAGUAUGUUGAAGAGGAAAUCCACGCAGUCUUUGCCGGCCUCCGCGAAUACCACUCGAUUCCUUCUCGUGUCGAUCAGCAGCUUCAUGCUCACCGUCGGUUCCGCCAUGCCUUUUGCUGUCUCAUCUAAUCGAUCAUCACUUGUUGUCUCAUUUAUAUAUUGAUAUUUGGUUGUGGUGUAGCGUGUUUGCACAAACACAAGUUGUGCAGCUGGGAGGCCAACUUGCUGAGAGAUUUCGAGAAUCAUUAAUUGUGAUGGGUUAGGUGGAAUAGGGAGAGCCUUGCCUUGCCUUGCCUAGUCUAAUUCAACAUACUGUAGAGCUCAUUAAUUUCACAGGAAACUAAAAUUAUUUCAAAAUUUUAACUUUAGCAUUGUGCUAAUAGCGGAAAUCAUCACUUGAGAUUCAGAAUAGGAAUGAGAUCUAGAUCUAGAUUCAGAAUAGGAAUAAGCUCAUAAUUAAAGUUUCGAAUAGAAGUUUGUAAACGCAUAUACAACUGCAAUAAAGCCACCUACAUAUUUAGCUUCUAAAUGGACGCAUCACGACAGCCAACAGCCAAACAAAACUUAUCAAAAGGAGAAAUGGAACAUAAGGAAAACAGAUGAGAUAGCAUGCUGUAAUCUGGAUCAACAUUUCUUCAACUCAUCGAUCGCAUCACAGAAGACUCGUGUAAGAACGUUCUUAGUCGUGAGAGAAGUCUUCAACAACUUAAUCGCCUAACGAAAAGGAAGUGAUCACAUUCGAGAUCAUUAAAGUGUUAGAUAUCAAAUACUAUUAACACAAAUACACACGUAUACACUAUGAUAGUUCAUAAACUGUAGAGACAAACUUCAAAAACAUGCUCAUACACUACGGUUUUAUAGGAAUCGUAGUAACAGACUACUAUAAACUACAGUUUUUACUACAUUUAGUUCUCCAGCGUAGUCUAAAAUUAAAAAAUGGCGCUCACGCACUACAGUUCACCAAAAAGACCGUAGUCUAUAUGAAUAAACUACGGUUUUAUAUAAAACCGUAGUUAUAAGGGUGUAGAGAUAGCCUAAAUUUGUAGUAAUGUAUACUAAAUGAAAGAAGCAGAAAAUGAUACCUCAUUCAUUCCUAAAGUGACAACCUUUUCCUCCAAAGCACCAACCUCCUUGACAUUAAACUUAUUGAGCAGAGUAAUGCUGGAGAUAGUAGACAUGGGCUUGAUCACCAAAUCAUCCAUCACCAUGUAUGUCACCACCCCCUUCACCAAACCGCCGCCUUCCGCCGCCUCUACCACCGCGGGAGGAGCCACAUAGGUCAUAGUCGAGCUCAGAACCCCACGGCACGAAGGACAAGUGGCGCGGGGGUCAUCAGAAACAUAAUUGCCACAAUUUCUACUAUUGUAAUUAUAAUUGGUGCACUUGUAAAAUACCCUCUCAAUUUGAGAACCAGUGAGGGCCAGAAGCGGAACUGAGGAACCGGAGACCGGCGCCGCCGGUUUCAGAAACGCCUCCUUGUUCUUGCCCGGGAGUAUGUAGGUGUCGUUGAGAUCUUCUAAGCUUUUGAAGAGGUUGGGGAGAGAGCCCUCCAUUCCUUCCUCUCUGAGAAGGCUGAUGACGGUGGCAAGCGGCGCAGACAGUAUGUGGAAGAGGAAAUCCACGCAGUCUUUGCCGGCCUCCGCGAACAAGACGCGUCUCACUUUGCUAGUGUCGAUCAACAGCUUCAUGCUCACCGUCGGAUUCGCCAUUAAUCUUUUUGUGUAUCUGAUGGCUUGAUCUUCUUCUUGGGUGGGUUACUCUAUUUCAACUCAUCACCAUUCAUUUAUAUAUAGAGAUUAGAUGCUGGCAAACUAGUUCCAUCGGAUUGGUGCAGAUGACAAGCUUAGUGAAGUAAUAAUGCUUGCGUUUCUAUUUAAUUAUCAUAAUGAGAGAAAUUGGGUUACCGUUACUGUUGAUAAAUAUUAAGGGAAAUUAGCUUUCUUUCGCGUAAAAUUAUUUUUACGCCGCAAAAAUUAAUUUACUUAUUAUUUCAAAUCGAAACGUACAAUAUUCAGGAAUCAGGAGUCAUAAAAGAAUAAUUCGACUUUCAAAUCCUUCCAUCUUGAGAAGCUAAAAAUAUUGUUAGUAUAUUGUAUGAAUAGUGCGUGUACGUUAAUAUUGAAAACUACCCACUUCUCCAAUAUGCAUCGUGCAUAAUGUAACUACAUUGUAAUUAUCAUCAUCAAUAUGAAAUAUUUAUAGAAAUUAAUGCAAGACUUCAACGAGUGCAAUAAAAUUCAUAAGUUCUCAAACAAACAAUAUUAGUAAUUUGCAAGCGCAGGAAACAGAAAGUGCAUUAGUUAAGGAUAAACUUCAACUGAUCAGAGGUUUAUACUGGACAUCGAUGGAACUAGAAGCCGAAAUCCGUGACUUGAACUAGCUUAGCAAAAGAGUUCUGUAAGAACAUUCUUGCUCUGGAGAGAAAUCUUCAAUAACUCCAAAGCCUAACCAAAAAGGAAGAAACCAUUUAAUCAAGCUCGUCAUCAUCAAAUCAGGUAGUGCUUCUGUAAUCCAAAUAAAAGUAUUACUGGACAAGAAGAAACUACUAAAUCACUUAAAGAUGAAGAGAGGAUAGAACAUAUAUAUACCUCAUCCAUUCCCAAAUAAACAACUUUUUCCUUCAAAGCACCCACAUACUUAACAUUGAAGUCAUUGAGCAGAGUAAUGCUGGAGAUAGUAGACAUGGGCUUGAUCUCCAAAUCAUCCAUCACCAUGUAUGUCACCACCCCCUUCACCAAACUGCCGUUUCCCGACACCACUUGCACAUUUGGUGUUGUAUAAUUAAAGCAGUACUUACAUUUUUGUAAGAGUUGUUUCCAGUACUUGACGCAGCUUCGAGAGCCAGCAGCGGAAGCGAAGAAGAGGAGACCGGUUUCAGAUAGAAGUCCUUCUUCUUGUCGGGCUCUAUGUAGUCGUCGUUGAGAUUUUCUAAGCUUUUGUAGAGGUUGGGCAAAGAGCCAUCCAUGCCUUCCUCUCUGAGCAAGCGAAUGACGGUGGCAACGGGCAGAGACAGUAUGUUGAAGAGGAAAUCGACGCAGUCUUUGCCGGCCUCCGCGAAUAGCACUCGCUUCCCUCUCGUGUCGAUCAACAGCUUCAUGCUCACCGUCGAUUCCGCCAUGCCUACUACUGCCUUGCUUCUCUUCUAUUCACC